CAGCAGCCGCGGUAAAACGUAGGUGGCAAGCGUUGUCCGGAAUUAUUGGGCGUAAAGGGCUCGCAGGCGGUUCCUUAAGUCUGAUGUGAAAGCCCCCGGCUCGACCGGGGAGGGUCAUUGGAAACUGGGAAACUUGAGUGCAGAAGAGGAGAGUGGAAUUCCACGUGUAGCGGUGAAAUGCGUAGAGAUGUGGAGGAACACCAGUGGCGAAGGCGACUCUUUGGUCUGUAACUGACGCUGAGGAGCGAAAGCGUGGGGAGCGAACAGGAUUAGAGACCCCUGUAGUCCCUGUCUCUUAUAC
rnacentral:rRNA from 1 species